rnacentral:tRNA from 1 species
GCCCUGGUGGCACAAUGAUUAAGCAACUUGGCUGUCAACCUAAAGGUUGGUGGUUGGAACCCACCCAAGGGCU